GGGAAGGUGGCUCAGUGGUAGAGUGCUUGCCUCACAUGCAUUAGGCCCUGGGUUCGAUUCCUUAGCCCCA
rnacentral:tRNA from 1 species